GGAUGGGUGUCCGAGCGGCCGAAGGAGCAGCACUGGAAAUGCUGUGCACCUUUUUAAGGUGCCGCGGGUUCAAAUCCCGCCCCAUCCG
rnacentral:tRNA from 1 species